GGUGGCUCACUGGUAGAGCAUUUGCCUUGCAUGCAUGAGGCCCUGGGUUCCAUUCCUCAGCACCA
rnacentral:tRNA from 1 species